ACCUGAGAGGGUGAUCGGCCACACUGGAACUGAGACACGGUCCAGACUCCUACGGGAGGCAGCAGUAGGGAAUCUUCCGCAAUGGGCGAAAGCCUGACGGAGCAACGCCGCGUGAGUGAUGAAGGUCUUCGGAUCGUAAAACUCUGUUAUUAGGGAAGAACAUACGUGUAAGUAACUAUGCACGUCUUGACGGUACCUAAUCAGAAAGCCACGGCUAACUACGUGCCAGCAGCCGCGGUAAUACGUAGGUGGCAAGCGUUAUCCGGAAUUAUUGGGCGUAAAGCGCGCGUAGGCGGUUUUUUAAGUCUGAUGUGAAAGCCCACGGCUCAACCGUGGAGGGUCAUUGGAAACUGGAAAACUUGAGUGCAGAAGAGGAAAGUGGAAUUCCAUGUGUAGCGGUGAAAUGCGCAGAGAUAUGGAGGAACACCAGUGGCGAAGGCGACUUUCUGGUCUGUAACUGACGCUGAUGUGCGAAAGCGUGGGGAUCAAACAGGAUUAGAUACCCUGGUAGUCCACGCCGUAAACGAUGAGUGCUAAGUGUUAGGGGGUUUCCGCCCCUUAGUGCUGCA
rnacentral:rRNA from 1 species